GACGUCGCUGCCGUGAUCG
rnacentral:snRNA from 1 species